CUCAGUGACGCAUUUCGGCUCCAGCGGCGGACGGGGGAACUACGCGUCGACUUCAAUCAACAUUUUAUAUCCAUUCUUACGAAGUUUAUCCAUAGUGACUCAUAAGGAAUAGGAAUUGAAGAAGGAAUGGGGGAGAGCGAGCGACGGUGUGCGAGUGAGAGGGAAGGAUGGCGAAAAGAAGACGCGGAGAAGGAACACGUGGAUGACGGUGCGGGGUGAAGCCAGCCGGCAGCCGGACACCCCUGAGGGUUGCCAGAUGAACAUCUAUCACCUUUGUUAGAAACGGGUCCUCUUACCUGCCUUCCUGAUAGAUAAGUGUGGCUGACAUGUGGCAGGUGUUGCAAGGGUAGGAAAAUAUAUGCAACAUUUGCCCGUGUUGGUACAGGUAAAUCAGAAGAUCCUACUGUUAAAUACAUUGGCGAGUUAUUUUUCUCUUUAGCAUUCUUAAAUUGGAACACAGUUAAGGUAGUGUGUAUGAAUAAAACGGUUUCUGUUGGUUGUUUCAUUUGUACGAAGGUUGUUGCAGGUGUAUGAUAAUCCCAAGAGGUAGAAUGUUCUCGAUGUACGUUUUCUAUGAUGGUGUGAUGAGGAUGUAUGAUAAUUGCCAUGGGCGAGCGUUUUCGAUGUCCGUUUUCUUUCAUGCUGCGUGGAGGAGGGACUUAAAGAAAGUUGUUAUACCUGAGCAUGUGAUAUAAAGGGCAGUGUGGCUGUACCAUGUUGGCCAGUAGUAAUAUUCAAGUGCUAUACAUUGGCACUAGGUAUAAAGGAUUAGUUCUACUGCAUUACAAUAGCCAUUCAUUAACUAAUUGGCUUGGUAAAGUGGAAGAAAGUAAUACCGGAGCAAAACAAGUAACCAAAGGACUUCUAACACAUUUUCGUUGGUUGUGACUAGCAUUGAAUAGUUGCGCUAAAGGAAAAUCAUGCAAGAACAGCAUUCAAGAAGAAUCUUGAAUCUUUUUUGUCAAAAUUUUAAGUAAUGGUGGUCUAAUAAUUGUGACUACUUGGUAGGAAGGCACAUUUAAAAAUGAAAUGAGUAUCUAAAAAAAUAUCAGUUUAUAUAUAUCUGAGAAGACAAGAAUUGGUAAACCAGAGAAAAUGCAACAAUGCAGUUGUCCUGUAACUUACAGGAAUGAACCGGCUAUCCAGUUGUCUUUAAACUCAAAGGAGUGAACUUGUAAUUUAUAAGACAGAACCAACUGGCAUGCCAUAAAUAGCACUGCAGUUACAAAAUGGCGGAAGAUUGCGUUUUCUGUAGUCAAAAGAGCGCCCGUUUUCUUUUACCUGAAGUAAGCGGGGUUACUGCUAUAUGUAACUCACCCUUUUGCACUGCCCAUAUUAUUGAAGAAAUGGUAAAAUGAAUGAGUAAGAUGAAAAGUGAAGCAAAAAGAAGAAGAAGAA